ACGGGAGGCAGCAGUGAGGAAUAUUGGUCAAUGGUCGGAAGACUGAACCAGCCAAGUAGCGUGAAGGAUGACUGCCCUAUGGGUUGUAAACUUCUUUUAUGCGGGAAUAAAGUACGCCACGCGUGGUGUUUUGCAUGUACCGCAUGAAUAAGGAUCGGCUAAUUCCGUGCCAGCAGCCGCGGUAAUACGGAAGAUCCGAGCGUUAUCCGGAUUUAUUGGGUUUAAAGGGAGCGUAGGCGGGCGUUUAAGUCAGUGGUCAAAGCGUGUGGCUCAACCAUACCACGCCAUUGAUACUGGAUGCCUUGAGUGCACAUAAGGAUGGUGGAAUUCAUGGUGUAGCGGUGAAAUGCUUAGAUAUCAUGAAGAACUCCGAUUGCGAAGGCAGCUGUCCGGGGUGUAACUGACGCUAAUGCUCGAAAGUGCGGGUAUCAAACAGGAUUAGAUACCCUGGUA
rnacentral:rRNA from 1 species